rnacentral:tRNA from 1 species
GCAUUGGUGGUUCAGUGGUAGAAUUCUCGCCUGCCACGCUGGAGACCCGGGGUCCGAUCCCCGCCAAUGCA